rnacentral:rRNA from 1 species
UGAUGCUCUCGCUAUUAGAUGAGCCUGCGUAAGAUUAGCUUGUUGGUGAGGUAAUGGCUCACCAAGGCCACGAUCUUUAGCUGGUCUGAGAGGACGAUCAGCCACAUUGGGACUGAGACACGGCCCAGACUCCUACGGGAGGCAGCAGUGGGGAAUAUUGGACAAUGGGCGCAAGCCUGAUCCAGCCAUACCGCGUGUGUGAAGAAGGCCUUCGGGUUGUAAAGCACUUUAAGCAGGGAGAAAAAGCAAUAAGUUAAUACCUUAUUGGCGUGAUGUUACCUGCAGAAUAAGCACCGGCUAAUUCCGUGCCAGCAGCCGCGGUAAUACGGAAGGUGCAAGCGUUAAUCGGAAUUACUGGGCGUAAAGCGCGCGUAGGUGGUUUGUUAAGUUGGAUGUGAAAGCCCUGGGCUCAACCUAGGAACUGCAUCCAAAACUAACUCACUAGAGUACGAUAGAGGGAGGUAGAAUUCAUAGUGUAGCGGUGGAAUGCGUAGAUAUUAUGAAGAAUACCAGUGGCGAAGGCGGCCUCCUGGAUCUGUACUGACACUGAGGUGCGAAAGCGUGGGUAGCGAACAGGAUUAGAUACCCUGGUAGUCCACGCCGUAAACGAUGACAACUAGCUGUUGGGAGACAAUGUCUUUCAGUGGCGCAGCUAACGUUUUAAGUUGUCCGCCUGGGGAGUACGGCCGCAAGGCUAAAACUCAAAUGAAUUGACGGGGACCCGCACAAGCGGUGGAGCAUGUGGUUUAAUUCGAUGCAACGCGAAAAACCUUACCUACUCUUGACAUACUUGGAAGCUCUUGUAAUGAGAGUGUGCCUUUUGGAGCCAAGAUACAGGUGCUGCAUGGCUGUCGUCAGCUCGUGUCGUGAGAUGUUCCGUUAAGUCGGAUAACGAGCGCAACCCUUACCCUUAUUUGCCAGCGAUUCGGUCGGGAACUAUAAGGGGACUGCCGGUGAUAAACCGGAGGAAGGUGAGGACGACGUCAAGUCAUCAUGGCCCUUACGAGUAGGGCUACACACGUGCUACAAUGGGGAAUACAGACGGACGCUAAGCCGCGAGGUGGUGCUAAUCCUAUAAA